UACGUAGGGUGCAAGCGUUGUCCGGAAUUAUUGGGCGUAAAGAGCUCGUAGGCGGUUCGUCACGUCGGCUGUGAAAUCCCGAGGCUCAACCUCGGGUCUGCAGUCGAUACGGGCGGACUUGAGUACUGCAGGGGAGACUGGAAUUCCUGGUGUAGCGGUGAAAUGCGCAGAUAUCAGGAGGAACACCAAUGGCGAAGGCAGAUCUCUGGGCCGUAACUGACGCUGAGGAGCGAAAGCAUGGGGAGCGAACAGG
rnacentral:rRNA from 1 species